CCUACGGGUGGCAGCAGUGAGGAAUAUUGGUCAAUGGGCGAGAGCCUGAACCAGCCAAGUCGCGUGAGGGAGUACUGCCCUAUGGGUUGUAAACCUCUUUUGUCGGGGAGCAAAAGCCGGACGUGUCCGGCUGUGAGAGUACCCGAAGAAAAAGCAUCGGCUAACUCCGUGCCAGCAGCCGCGGUAAUACGGAGGAUGCGAGCGUUAUCCGGAUUUAUUGGGUUUAAAGGGUGCGCAGGCGGAUUUUUAAGUCAGCGGUAAAAUCGUGGGGCUCAACCCCCUCCAGCCGUUGAAACUGGGGAUCUAGAGUGUGCGAGAGGUAUGCGGAAUGCGUGGUGUAGCGGUGAAAUGCAUAGAUAUCACGCAGAACCCCGAUUGCUAAGGCAGCAUACCGGUGCACAACUGACGCUCAGGCACGAAAGCGUGGGUAUCGAACAGGAUUAGAUACCCCUGUAGUC
rnacentral:rRNA from 1 species